rnacentral:rRNA from 1 species
GGGGAAUAUUGCACAAUGGGGGAAACCCUGAUGCAGCGACGCCGCGUGGAGGAAGAAGGUCUUCGGAUUGUAAACUCCUGUUGUUGGGGAAGAUAAUGACGGUACCCAACAAGGAAGUGACGGCUAACUACGUGCCAGCAGCCGCGGUAAAACGUAGGUCACAAGCGUUGUCCGGAAUUACUGGGUGUAAAGGGAGCGCAGGCGGGAAGACAAGUUGGAAGUGAAAUCUAUGGGCUCAACCCAUAAACUGCUUUCAAAACUGUUUUUCUUGAGUAGUGCAGAGGUAGGCGGAAUUCCCGGUGUAGCGGUGGAAUGCGUAGAUAUCGAGAGGAACACCAGUGGCGAAGGCGGCCUACUGGGCACCAACUGACGCUGAGGCUCGAAAGUGUGGGUAGCAAACAGGAUUAGAUACCCUGGUAGUCCACACCGUAAACGAUGAUUACUAGGUGUUGGAGGAUUGACCCCUUCAGUGCCGCAGUUAACACAAUAAGUAAUCCACCUGGGGAGUACGACCGCAAGGUUGAAACUCAAAGGAAUUGACGGGGGCCCGCACAAGCAGUGGAGUAUGUGGUUUAAUUCGACGCAACGCGAAGAACCUUACCAAGUCUUGACAUCCCUUGACAGACAUAGAAAUAUGUUUUCUCUUCGGAGCAAGGAGACAGGUGGUGCAUGGUUGUCGUCAGCUCGUGUCGUGAGAUGUUGGGUUAAGUCCCGCAACGAGCGCAACCCUUAUGGUCAGUUACUACGCAAGAGGACUCUGGCCAGACUGCUGUUGACAAAACGGAGGAAGGUGGGGAUGACGUCAAAUCAUCAUGCCCUUUAUGACUUGGGCUACACACGUACUACAAUGGCGUUAAACAAAGAGAAGCAAGACCGCGAGGUGGAGCAAAACUCAGAAACAACGUCCCAGUUCGGACUGCAGGCUGCAACUCGCCUGCACGAAGUCGGAAUUGCUAGUAAUCGUGGAUCAGCAUGCCACGGUGAAUACGUUCCCG